rnacentral:rRNA from 1 species
GAUGAACGCUAGCGGCAGGCUUAACACAUGCAAGUCGAGGGGUAACAUUGGUGCUUGCACCAGAUGACGACCGGCGCACGGGUGAGUAACGCGUAUGUAACCUACCUAUCACAGGGGGAUAGCCCGGAGAAAUUCGGAUUAAUACCGCAUAGUUUUGAGAUAUUGCAUGAUAUUUCAAAUAAAACUUCGGUGGUGAUAGAUGGACAUGCGUAUGAUUAGUUAGUUGGUGAGGUAACGGCUCACCAAGGCGACGAUCAUUAGGGGUUCUGAGAGGAAGGUCCCCCACACUGGUACUGAGACACGGACCAGACUCCUACGGGAGGCAGCAGUGAGGAAUAUUGGUCAAUGGACGGAAGUCUGAACCAGCCAUGCCGCGUGCAGGAUGACUGCCCUAUGGGUUGUAAACUGCUUUUCUGAAGGAAGAAAAGUACCUACGUGUAGGUAUUUGCCGGUACUUCAGGAAUAAGGAUCGGCUAACUCCGUGCCAGCCGCCGCCGUAACAC